UACGUAGGUGGCAAGCGUUGUCCGGAUUUAUUGGGUUUAAAGGGUGCGUAGGCGGUCUAUUAAGUCAGUGCUGAAAUACUCCAGCUUAACUGGAGGGGUGGCAUUGAUACUGAUGGACUUGAGUACAGAUGAGGUAGGCGGAAUUGACGGUGUAGCGGUGAAAUGCAUAGAUAUCAAAGAGGGAACACCUGAGGUGAAGACGGGUUGCUGGGCCGACACUGACGCUGAUGCGGCGAAAAGCCCAGGGGGAGCGAACGGGG
rnacentral:rRNA from 1 species